UAAGCCCUGCUCAGAAGUCAAGAGCAGCAGCGCCGCCGCCUCGGCGCGGCCUUUCAUGACGCGGUCGCUCCUUAUUCUUGUGCCUCGGCCUCUCUGGUCGCCCCCGGACAAAGCCACCGGAGCCCCGCCGCUCCCUUCCCGCUAAAUCCCCUUCGGGGUCAAUGCUCUACCAGCACCGGGCCGCGCGCUUCUCCUGCCAGUGGUGUGGUUCUUAAAGAGCCGCACCCCCCCCCCCUCCGUCCUGUGCGNGACGCCUUAGGUCCCUGCUGCCCCGACCGAAGCCUGCGGACUCUUAGCCCCCUCCCUUCACCUCCUCCCCUGAG
rnacentral:lncRNA from 1 species